rnacentral:rRNA from 1 species
UACGGGGGGGGCAAGCGUUGUUCGGAAUUACUGGGCGUAAAGGGCGCGUAGGCGGCCUGCUAAGUCGGAUGUGAAAUCCCUCGGCUCAACCGAGGAACUGCAUCCGAUACUGGCGGGCUUGAAUCCGGGAGAGGGAUGUGGAAUUCCAGGUGUAGCGGUGAAAUGCGUAGAUAUCAGGAGGAACACCGGUGGCGAAGGCGGAUCUCUGGGCCGUAACUGACGCUGAGGAGCGAAAGCAUGGGGAGCGAACAGG